GCGGGCGUUGCAUAGUGGCAAUGCCGUUGCCUUCCAAGCAGAAGUCCCGGGUUCGAUUCCCGGCGCCCGCACCA
rnacentral:tRNA from 1 species